rnacentral:miRNA from 1 species
GGUGCCCCCUCGCCCCCACCCUGCCCGGGACCCAGUUCAAGUAAUUCAGGAUAGGUUGUGUGCUGUCCAGCCUGUUCUCCAUUACUUGGCUCGGGGGCCGGUGCCCUGCAGCCUUGGGGUGAGGGGGUUGCCC